rnacentral:rRNA from 1 species
CCUACGGGGGGCAGCAGUGGGGAAUAUUGGACAAUGGGGGCAACCCUGAUCCAGCCAUGCCGCGUGUGUGAAGAAGGCCCUCGGGUUGUAAAGCACUUUCAGUGAGGAAGAACGCCUGGUGGUUAAUACCCAUCAGGAAAGACAUCACUCACAGAAGAAGCACCGGCUAACUCCGUGCCAGCAGCCGCGGUAAUACGGAGGGUGCGAGCGUUAAUCGGAAUUACUGGGCGUAAAGCGCGCGUAGGUGACUUGAUAAGCCGGUUGUGAAAGCCCCGGGCUCAACCUGGGAACGGCAUCCGGAACUGUCAAGCUAGAGUGCAGGAGAGGAAGGUAGAAUUCCCGGUGUAGCGGUGAAAUGCGUAGAGAUCGGGAGGAAUACCAGUGGCGAAGGCGGCCUUCUGGACUGACACUGACACUGAGGUGCGAAAGCGUGGGUAGCAAACAGGAUUAGAUACCCCAGUAGUC